AGGUGGCUACACUCCAGAUCAUGCCUAGUACAUUUUUCUUCUUCGAUGAAGGCAAGUGAAUGUAGGGGUGAUUGCUUCCGUUCUGACCUGUUAUUUCUAUCGCCUACACUCUAGUAUUCAGAAUUAUUGGAUUCUUUCAUAAUUGGACUCCAUGGUGAUGCUUUACUUGCUUGCAUUAUCCUGAUGCUCAAUCAUAUAUUGAUGAUGAUUAUGAUUCGAGUACGAAUCAUGAGAUUAAUUCACACCCCUGAAGGUAAAUGAAGUAUUAUUUGAGGUUUGUAUUGUAUCUGAAGGUAAUGAAGUAUUAUUUGAGAUUCGUAUUGCAUGUGAAGGAAGUUAAGUAUAUUGAUAAAUGCAGCAUGCCACAUACAUUGCAUGAUUCACUUGCAUCUGAAGUUGGGUCGUGACCUAUGGUCCGACCGUACCGGUACAACUUAGCAUCGUAUGUUGCCCGAGGAGGGGUACGAUGCGGCUUCAUACCCUUAGAGGUAUGAAGGCAGAGGACAUAUGCAUUGCAUUCAUAUGCAUUCAUUGAAGUGAUAUUUGCAUAUGAUGUGGUUUUAUACCCUCAGAGGUAUGAAGACAGAGUACCUACACUUUGCGUUCCUAUGCAUACAUUGAAGUGAUAUUUGCAGGUAUUGUUGACGCAGGGAAGUGUUAUACAAACUAUUGUGGUUGUUCAAGGAAAUGAGAUGGUAUUGGUUAUAUUGAGACUACUGAGUUCUAUAUCUACAAGUAUUUCUGAUCUUAAUUGUGAUUCUUUUAAAAUAUUGAUUAAUUCAAUUUGUGGUUUAAAUAUCUUGUCAAAACAAAACAAUUCGCUUGCUGAGAUGUUUCAUCUCACUCUUGCAUUACUCAAUGCAGGUGCUUGUUGCUCAUCAAGGGAAGUGGGAAGUAGCAGCACAUCCACCUUCACUCUCAUAAUAACGCUGCUUAGGCGUAGUCAUGAUUUAAUUAGAAACUUCUUGUCAAAGGAUGUUGUUUCUAACUAGUUGUGCGCACUGGUUGAUUUAGUUCAUGCCGUUAUGGUUGUCUUUCCAUUGCUAGCAGAUUAUUAAUGUCUAUUAUGUUUUCUUAUCAUGAUAUCUAUUUAUACUUUCUUGCUUCCCCGUUUAUGCAAUUUUCAAAGGGGAUGCUGUCGAAAUUUUAUAUAUGAAUGUUAGAUGUGUAGUUUAGUAGCAUUCUGGGGUGUUUGUGGAUCCCGGGGUGUUACACAAGUUCUUUGAUUUAAGGGAUAAAGAUAGGAGACAAGUUGCUAGACUUAGAUCCAUGUUCAAUGAUGUGAUGUGGAAGAUGAUGAUGAGCAAACAAAAAAUAGCAAGCAAGCGGAUGACUAUGAGAGGUUUGAAGGUGAGUGCUUCUCAAAGCAAGGAGCAAUAAGAGAUAGAGAAAGAAAAAUCCUAUUCUUUGGUGGGGAGCUUAUGGUGGCCUAGCAUAUGAACUAUAAUGCUUAGCAAAGAUGAUUGUCAGCGAUGAACUAUAAUGCCUAUGUUGUUCAACAUCUAGAUGUGAACGAAAUUGGAGUGACUUUGCCCAAGUCCAUACAAAAAGAAACAUAUUAGAGCACCAAAGAUUGAAUAAGUUGGUGUAUGUGAGCUACAACCAGAAAAUAGAAAAUCGGUUUGCAAAAAUAAGAGAGCUCAGUUCCAAACGCAAGAAAAGCAACCCACUGGUGCUUGAAGAGUUUCAAUGGGAAAAUGAAUGGGUUGAUGAGGAAUCUGAUAGUGGUAAUCUUUGGACUGCCGUUGAUGAAGCAUUGGGUGCAACAUAGGGUCUCUGGGGCCAAAAUGUACCUAGGGCUACUGUUGGUCUGGUUAGGGGGGGCCUCUUCUUCUUCUCAGCCUCAUCCAAGGACCUAUGUUUGAACUAGGAAGCGUCCAAGGAAUGCUCAAGAUGUUGGAGAAGAAGAUGGUAGUUAUCCUGAUGAUGAAGAUGGUAGUGAUCAUCUAGCUGAACAACCAGUACAAACUCAAGGAGAAGUGGAUGAGGAAGAAGAAUCUGAGUCGGGUGGAGGGCUGCUAGUGAUGCUGCUUUUCAAUUGGAUGAGGCUCUACUUCUUUAGGUCAAUAGUAAGUCUGUAGUUCUAUACUUGCCUACUUGGCAUUUAUAUACUAGUAAGUCUGCAACUCUACAUCAUAUGUUAUGUAGUGAGUAGUGAGUGAUGUUCAGUUCAUGUUUUGAAAUCUGAAUUCUUAAUUCUAAAAUGUGAUCUGAGUGCCUGACAAUUCUAGUAUUCAUAAUUUCUAUGAUGUUCUGAAAUCUGAAUGUUCAAUGAUGUUCUGAAAUCUGAAUUGUCCACUCUCCACUGUCCAGUUCUAGUAUUCAUAUUUGUUUUGUUUGGUAAUUUGGUUACCUUGAUAUUGCCUCCUAUAUGCU